GAUGAACGCUGGCGGCGUGCCUAAUACAUGCAAGUCGAGCGAACAGAUAAGGAGCUUGCUCCUUUGACGUUAGCGGCGGACGGGUGAGUAACACGUGGAUAACCUACCUAUAAGACUGGGAUAACUUCGGGAAACCGGAGCUAAUACCGGAUAACAUAUUGAACCGCAUGGUUCAAUAGUGAAAGGCGGCUUUGCUGUCACUUAUAGAUGGAUCCGCGCCGGUUUAGCGAGUUGGUAGGGUAACGGCUUACCAAGGCACCGAUACGUAGCCGACCUGAGAGGGUGAUCGGCCACACUGGAACUGAGACACGGUCCAGACUCCUACGGGAGGCAGCAGUAGGGAAUCUUCCGCAAUGGGCGAAAGCCUGACGGAGCAACGCCGCGUGAGUGAUGAAGGUCUUCGGAUCGUAAAACUCUGUUAUCAGGGAAGAACAAAUGUGUAAGUAACUGUACACAUCUUGACGGUACCUGAUCAGAAAGCCACGGCUAACUACGUGCCAGCAGCCGCGGUAACAC
rnacentral:rRNA from 1 species